UGGGGAAUUUUGGACAAUGGGCGAAAGCCUGAUCCAGCAAUGCCGCGUGUGUGAAGAAGGCCUUCGGGUUGUAAAGCACUUUUGUCCGGAAAGAAAUCCUUGGCUCUAAUACAGUCGGGGGAUGACGGUACCGGAAGAAUAAGCACCGGCUAACUACGUGCCAGCAGCCGCGGUAAUACGUAGGGUGCAAGCGUUAAUCGGAAUUACUGGGCGUAAAGCGUGCGCAGGCGGUUUGCUAAGACCGAUGUGAAAUCCCCGGGCUCAACCUGGGAACUGCAUUGGUGACUGGCAGGCUAGAGUAUGGCAGAGGGGGUAGAAUUCCACGUGUAGCAGUGAAAUGCGUAGAGAUGUGGAGGAAUACCGAUGGCGAAGGCAGCCCCUGGGCCAAUACUGACGCUCAUGCACGAAAGCGUGGGGAGCAAACAGGAUUAGAUACCCUGGUAGUCCACGCCCUAAAGCGAUGUCAACUAGUUGUUGGGGAUUCAUUUCCUUGUAACGUAGCUAACGCGUGAAGUUGACCGCCUGGGGAGUACGGUCGCAAGAUU
rnacentral:rRNA from 1 species